rnacentral:rRNA from 1 species
GUGUCAGCAGCCGCGGUAAUACGUAGGUGGCAAGCGUUGUCCGGAUUUACUGGGCGUAAAGAGCGCGCAGGCGGUCGGAUUAGUCGCGUGUGAAAGCCCCCGGCUCAACUGGGGAGGGUCACGCGAUACUGUUCGACUCGAAGGCAGGAGAGGGAAGUGGAAUUCCCGGUGUAGUGGUGAAAUGCGUAGAUAUCGGGAGGAACACCAGUGGCGAAGGCGACUUCCUGGCCUGUUCUUGACGCUGAGGCGCGAAAGCUAGGGUAGCAAACGGGAUUAGAAACCCUGGUAGUCC